AUCAUUCAGUAUUCUGUCGUCAUCUAAACAUGAAGUGCCUUGCUUUCAUUUUUGCCGUGGUCAUGUUUGUGUGCUUGGUGACGUCGACGACGGCGUGUGGUUGCAGCAGUGGUAGCCACAGCAGUCACCAUCACUCUCACGGCAUCAUGGUGCCCAUCCCCUACAUGAUGCACGGCGGUGGCGGCGGUCACAGCCACUCCAACUACCUCCCCAUCAUCCUCACAACGACUGGUUAAAUCCACCGUGAAUAUACUCCAUGACAACCAUCAGUCCAGUUUGGCUGUCAACACGAUGCUGGUCACGUGUUCCUAAGAGUGUUAAGAUGACGGUCUGCUAGACAACAGUUGUACAUGUAAUACAAUAUCUGUAACACUGUUACUGUUUUUCUUCCAUAAUAAAAAACUCUUCG